GUGAUAUAAUUUAACGGCCGCAGUACCUUGACUGUGCUAAGGUAGCAAAAUAAAUUGACUUUUAAUUGGGGCCUAGAAUGAAUGGGUAUAUGGAUAAUUUCUGUCUCAAGUAAAUUUAUUUAAAGUUACUUAAAAGGUGAAAAUUCCUUUAUAUAUAAAUAAGACGAGAAGACCCUAGGAGUUUGAAAUUUUGUUGGGGUGACAAUAUAGCAUAUAACCUAUAUAAUAAUAUAAAAUAUAACAAAUAAUAUUAAUAGUAAUUAAACUACCCUAGGGAUAACAGCACAAUUUUAUUUAAGUUUGUGACCUCGAUGUUGGACUAGGAACUUUUAAUAUUAACAGUAUUAAUUGGUAGUUCUGUUCGA
rnacentral:rRNA from 1 species